rnacentral:lncRNA from 1 species
GACUUCCUGGGGCUGCUGGAGGUUUAAUUGGUUCAUGGUGGCUAAGCGGUUGGCGAUCCUGGCCUGGAAUUCCGGCGGACGCUGCUCGUCAGCUGGCCGAAGCCACAGGGCUGAAGCAGAUGGCUGAGCCUGCAGAUGGUGCAAGGCUUCUGAUGGAAGGACCUAGCAAUUGAGGUCACAGAAAGAUCUUGGGUCAGGAGUCAGCCAGAAUACUGCAGAGUCCACUGUCCCAAAGGCUCUGAGGUCCUUCCCUCCUCCCCACCCCUCUGAGGGGAGGAAUUUUUCCUUUGCAUCUUUGAUCCUGCCCUUGGCUUGGAAGGAAAGUAAUGGAAACCAAAAUGUUGGACCUUGGGCUCCAAAGUGAAGCCCUUCCUGUGAACACCACCAAAUUGACAGGGGCAGCUCCAGGGUGCCCUAAACACACUUUAAGUUUCUGCAGCUCAGCUGGGGAGGGCUUGUUCCCUCCCCUUAUGUGUCUACCUAGAACCUCUCCUGGUUCCUUUCAGUUGCUCUUGUCUCACCAAAAAGUGCUUUGAUACAUGGACAGGACUGCUACAGAAACAGCCAGCUAUGCAGCAUGACCAAGACAGAAAGGAACAGACCAAAGAUUGGGUGCCACACAGGAAGCCCAAUAUGCACAGUCCCAGCUAG